UACGUAGGGUGCAAGCGUUAAUCGGAAUUACUGGGCGUAAAGCGUGCGCAGGCGGCUGUGUAAGACAGGGGUGAAAUCCCCGGGCUUAACCUGGGAAUUGCAUUUGUGACUGCACGGCUAGAGUGUGUCAGAGGGGGGUAGAAUUCCACGUGUAGCAGUGAAAUGCGUAGAUAUGUGGAGGAAUACCGAUGGCGAAGGCAGCCCCCUGGGAUAACACUGACGCUCAUGCACGAAAGCGUGGGGAGCAAACAGG
rnacentral:rRNA from 1 species